rnacentral:rRNA from 1 species
UAGGGAAUAUUAGAAAUGGACGAAAGUCUGAUCUAGCGACACCGCGUGUGCGAUGAAGGCCUUCGGGUUGUAAAGCACUUUUUGGAAGGAAUAGGAAGGAAGGUACUUCCAGAAUAAGUCUCGGCUAACUACGUGCCAGCAGCCGCGGUAACACGUAGGAGGCAAACGUUAUCCGGAUUUACUGGGCGUAAAGCGCGUGUAGGUGGUUCUGUAAGUAGGGCGUGAAAGCUCCCGGCUCAACUGGGAGAGGCCGUUCUAAACUGCAGAGCUAGAGGAUGGUAGAGGGAGGUGGAAUUCCAGGUGUAGCGGUGGAAUGCGCAGAUAUCUGGAGGAACACCAGUGGCGAAAGCGGCCUCCUGGACCAUUCCUGACACUCGGACGCGAAAGCUAGGGUAGCAAACG